rnacentral:rRNA from 1 species
CGUUCAGGGGUAAACCUGAGAAACCCGAAAGGUCGAAUGGGGAGAUUCAGCGUGUCUCGUCGCAGGAGAGUUCUGGUCGCGUGACGAUCCGAUUCAAUCGGACUGCGCCUUCCGGAUCCGUAUCCGGCGACGAACUCGUGCACUUCUCCCCUAGUAGGACGUCGCGACCCGUUGGGCGCCGGUCUAAGGCCGACGGUGGAGCCUUGGGGGAGUUCUUCGGAAUUUUCUUCAAGACCCGUCGUGUCCCGGCCGGCUCGCUCGACGGUAAGACAGAGGCGUGGGGUCGCUACUAGUUAGCGUCCGGCCCGUCACAAGUUCGGGCGAUUGCUCGGAUGUCGGACCUGUGUGCCGACCUCGAGCUCGCACGGCUGUUGGUGACGGUGUCCUCGGACAGACUUCGAACACGCCGGUCGGCGACGCUCUAGCUUUGGGUACUUUCAGGACCCGUCUUGAAACACGGACCAAGGAGUCUAGCAUGUGCGCGAGUCAUUGGGACCGCAUCUAAACCUAAAGGCAAAAUGAAAGUGAAGGCCGCCUUGCGCGUGCCGAGGGAGGAUGGGUCGGGCACUGCCCGCAACCUCGCACUCCCGGGGCGUCUCGUUCUCAUCGCGAGAUGAGGCGCACCCAGAGCGUACACGCUGGGACCCGAA